ACUUUUUUUUUUUUUUUUUUUUUUUUAGGUACCAGCAUCAAGAUGAUUUAUGGUAAUAAGAUAUAAAACCAAGGAAAAUAACCUAAAGUCUGAAAAAGACCAGAAUCGAAGUUUCCUGAUUCAUAUUUUAAUGUUUUGAAAUUUAUACUCCAGGCUGGGUGCAGUGGCUUGUGCCUGUAAUCCCAGCACUUUGGGAGGCCGAGGCGGCCGGAUUGCCUGAAGUCAGAAGUUCGAGACCAGCCUGACCAACAUGGUGAAACCCUGUCUCUACUUAAAAAUACAAAAGAGCUGGGCAUGGAGGUGGUGCGCGCCUGUAACCCUAGCUACUCGGGAGGCUGAGGCCUAAGAAUCUCUUGAACCCAGGAGGCAGAGGUUGUAGUGAGCCGGGAUCACGCCACUGCACUCUAGCCUGGGCGACAGAGAGAGAGACUGUCUAAAAAAGGAAAAGAAAAAAAUUUAUACGCCAAAAAAGAUAUUCUGAGAUAACCUGUAGUUACCACUAACUUUGUGACAAAAUUAUAAAAAUCCACAGCCAUCUAUGAAUCUGUAGGCAGACCUGAAGUUUGAACGACUGGUGAAGACAUCUGAUUUUCUUUAUAGCCAAGUUAGGAUAACAAAAUGCAAACAAGUCAUUAAUAUUUACUAUAUGCAAGAUACAGAAAGAUGAAGGAAGGAGUAAGAAGUUAUCCUUCGUGGAACUAUUCAAAGCAAAAAUGCAAAAUACCAGGGAAAGCUUUGAAGAACCAAGAUUUGAGCAGGUUCUUAGAAUAUAGAUUGGAUUGGAUUUGAUUUCAAGAAAGAUGAACGUGUAAAGCAGAAGUGGGAAGCCAAAAACUUUUUUCCAAAUUAGAAUUAAGCAUUCUUUCAAUGAACAUUUGGAAAUCAAGGUAGAAAAAUAUCCCUAGGGCCUAGCUGAGGAGUCUGUAUGUUGUUGGGUUUUGAUAGUAACCAGUCCAAGAUUUUGUUAUUAGACGUGGGUUUCUGAAUAGACAGGCAUUUCUGAACAGACAUGACAGGAUCAAAACAAUGUUUGAGCAAACUGCCCUUCAUCUACUGUGGAUAUGUUGGGGGAUGAUGGAAUAUAGUGAAAGAUAAUGGGUGCUCAUACAGCAGUCUAGACUUAAGGUGAUUCAACUACUAUAUAUUAAACUAGAUUAUCUUUUAUUUUUUAAUUUUGAAAUCUGGAUGCUCAAGCUCUGCCUGCACAACCACAUGAGGAAGAAGGAACAAUGACAACAAAAAUAACACUAAAUUUAAAUUUAAGAGUACUACUUUUAGGAAAUAGACAAACCAUUAUUUGGGUACAACUAAAGGCAACUGGCAUGGACUCAAAUAUUUUGGGGAAGAAAAAGACUAAAAGUUCUAAGGAAGAAAAUGCGAACCUUGAUAGUUUGAAAUAGUUAAAAAGACAGUGUAGAAACUGCUUAGGCAGUUUGAUUAUGGACUAUUAGAUGAUACUUGGGUCUGAUAAUGGUAUAAGGAGAAUAAAGUAUUUAGGGAUCCAAUAUUACGCCUGCAGCUUUUUCCAAAUAGUUCAUGGGGGAGGGGGAUGUGUAAGUGGUUAACUGAAGUCUAACUAGAUAGGUUUGUUGUAAGCUUAGGAUGUUUACAGUUCUUCAUGUUAAGUUGAGCGUGAUGGGAAGGGAAAGAAUGCUGAUCUUUAAAUUUUUGUCCUUAGUUAAGUUCUGUAUUUAGUGAAUUAAUUGCAUCCUAAAAAGUCAAACUUGAAAAGCACAUUUUAAAUGGCAAAUCUAUUUUUUACAUGUUUGUGAAGUUUUUAUUUUUUAGUAAACAGACCAUCAGAAGAGAACAAUGGUACAGAGCAGGGGUCAGCAGAUGGAUUUUGUAAAGCAUCAACUUGUAAAUAUUUUCAAGUUUAUUAGCUGUAUGGCUCUGGUUUCUGUUCCCUGUUCCAAAUGUUAAAGUCUACUGUUGUAUUCUAAAAGCAGCCAUGGACUGAAUGUAGCUGUGUUCCAAUAAAACUUACACAAAAGCAGGCAGUGGGCCAUAAUUUGCAACACCUGAUUCACAGCAUAAUUUUGUCACAAACUGAAAGUGUUCCUCAAUUAAAGUGAUUUUUUUUUCUUGA
ensembl:lncRNA PSMA3-AS1 PSMA3 antisense RNA 1